rnacentral:lncRNA from 1 species
AGGUGCCGUUUCACUCUUGUUGUCCAGGCUUGAGUGCAAUGGUGCGAUCUUGGCUCACCACAACCUCCGUCUCCUGGGUUCAAGCGAUUCUCCUGCCUCAGCCUCCCUGGUAGCUGGGAUUGCAGGCACGCACCACCACGCCUGGCUAAUUUUUUAUUUUUAGUAGAGACAGGGUUUCUCCAUGUUGGUCAGGCUGGUCUCAAACUCCCAACCUCAGGUGAUCCGUCCACCUCGGCCUCCCAAAGGGCUGGGAUUACAGGUGUGAGCCACCGUGCCUGGCCUAUCUUUACCUUUUUAAGGUAGUGACUAGCAACUUUAAGAUUCAUAUGUGGCUCAUGCUGUAUUUCUAUUAUGGAACUGCCUUAUGACUUUCAAUGGGUAGGAUGGACACAUCCUUGGUGGGAUGGAGAAAUCUAUCAUAGCAGCUGGUCUUGAAGGUGGGUGGGGAUAUGAUAAUAACUUAGGUGGGGAGGCUCAGGAGGACUCACAGAAUAACUGGCAACCCUGCCCCUGUCUGUAAAAACCCCAUCCUGGAGGAAAUAAGUUAGGAAAAGGUUUUGCAUUUUGUGGAAUGAAAAGUCUGUUGCAUCUAGCUUGAGACAGAGCAAAAAGAGUUGAUUGUCAGCUUCAUGAAGACCAGGGGGUCUAAAAGACCCAGGGAUCAACAACCAAUGAGAGCAGCAUGGAGGCCAAGAACCAGGCAAAAUGCUGAUUCCAGGACUGGGAUUCAGGAUGAUUUCCUUCUAUGCAAUAAUCUGCUCCUUGAAAGGGUAUCUAAUUGGGCAUUGCUUUUACUUGCUGCUUUCAAUUCUUUUAUGUUCUUUCCUAGUAAAUAUUUUUUCUUAAUUUCAUUGCAGCUCGUAUUUAUCCUGGGAACAGAGAGAAAUGUUUCACAAGCUUAAGCCAGUCUUUUAAAAGGAGAAUGGCAGGACUCCAAAAACAGACAUGCUGAUAUGUACUGGGGAAUUUUUAAGUGCUGAAACCUCCAAGACAAAAGAGACUGUGUCUUUAUUGUUCUCUGAAUUACUCGUACCCAGCUCGGUACCUGGAACAUGAUAGGGAUCCCAUAGUGGUUUGAUGAAUAAAUUAGUGACUCCAAGAGUAAAGUAAUCCUCAGGAGGACAAAGGCAGAUAGCUUCCCUUCCCUAUCAGAAUGUACUUCUCUUAAAGCUUUUCUUGGUAUAAUUCUUGGAGAAUUUUGCCUUACAGAAGUCAAAUCACAUACCAAAGUGAAAACUGGAUCUUCUACAAAUAAUGGAAGAAUCAACUCUAUCAAAACAACAAUUAUACAUAUGAUCAAUGGAGGGGUUGUCACGAGCCAGGCUAAGAGCUUUACAUAUAUUAUCUCAUUCUGUCUAUGCCAGAGAAUCAACUAUGACAUAUGUAACAUUAAAUCUCAUUUUAUAGAUGCAAAAACUGGGGUGUAAAGAAGUCAAAGAAUCAGCCAGAAUGUACAGAAUUAGCAAAGGUGGAACUGGGAUUUGAAUUCAGACAGUCUGACUCCAGACGCCAUCUCCGAAUUAUGCAUAAUUAUAUUUCAAUUAUUAACAUUCAUAAAUUGAAAUAUGAGGGAUAAUGUACCUUUUCAUGAAAGCUUUGCUCGUUGUGUGGAUGAGUGUGUGUACAUGUAACUGCUUAUGUGUGCUAUCACUGAGGUAGAAGACAUCUCUCUCUCUCUCUCUCUCUCUCUCUCUCUGUUUUGGUCUACUUUUAGUAAGACUUGUAUUUGAUUGAGUUCAGAAGUUUGAUUAUCUUUUUAACUAACCUGUUUGUUUUAAUUAUAUUAAAAAUUAGUCACUUUCAACAUAUUUGCAUAGGUAAUUGUUAGGGUGAUCUUUUGGAUGAUCAGAUGUAAUAUACUACUACUACACACAGACACCCAGACACACACACACACACACACACACACACGCAUGCAGACACAUCCUUGAGCUCAAAGAGCUUUCUCAGGACUACAUACUUUACAUUUACAACAAGUCAUUUAGAAAACUAUCAAUCCUAUUCAAAUCUCAGCAAAACAGAGAUACCAGGCUCUGCCUUUCUCUUUAACUGCUCUUUUUUUGCUGUAGACAAAGCUGUUUCUUGCACUGCUACAUAUAUAAAAAAGUGACAAAUCCUUAACUGUCAAACAAGAGAAAUAGUUUGAUAAAUAUAAUAAUUCCAUAAGAUGGCACAUUAUACACUACUAAAUUGUAAGGACAGUAAAGUUACUGUUAAGUACCAAAAAGUCAUGAUUAAAUGUUAAGUGAAAAAAUAGAAUAUAGCUAGAUUUGAAUUUGAAUAUUCAAUCUGUAUACCAGUAUGUAUAGAAGGAAGAGUAUAUACCAAAUAGUAAGAGUAUCUAUCUGUUUUAUAAUUUGAUAUAAUACAAAUUAUUCUACCUUAAACAUAUGAGAAUUUGUGGUCCAUGAUGUUGUAGAUUCUAUCUUCUCACCCUGCAUUUCCGAAGACAUAUGGUAUUGGCUCAUUAGACUAUUUGUUGAAUAGUCUUUAUUCUAUUAUCAUAGAAAAAAUAAAUGAGUGCAUAUAUCCAUAUACAAAAUAGAGGUCUGUUCUUCCUGUAUAUAUUUAUACUAAAAAAACUGAGACUUUUUUUUACAGUUGUAUAUAUACAAACAUAUUUGUUUAUUUAUAUACACAUAUAUAAAUCAAUUUUAUGUACAUGUGGGUAUACAUACAUCCAUGCAUAUAACUCUGAAGUGCUGACUCUCUAAAGAAAGCCCAGGUAUUGGUCAGAAUUCAUGCUCGGCUCAGGAGUAUAGAAUUAAGAGAUACAAACCUCAAAAAAGAGGGAACCGAAUCUUCAAAUCUGAGCCACCUUACAAGAAUUUUUAAGGUAACUGUUUUAAGUGUAAACAUUAUGGCAAUGUAAUAGUAUAAUUUGUAUGGCACAAGAUGGAGUCCUGGUGGCCAGAACUGAGUAUGGGAAUAGUCAGUGCUAAUCUUUGUGCAAAGCACAAAGGAAAAUUGGUAUACAAGGCCUGAGAGAGAGGUCAAGGAAGCAAAUACUAUAAAGUCCCAGAAGGCAGUUGGAUAGGACAAGGGGAUCGGAAGAGCAGGAUCAAGAUCAGAGAGCAGGGAAGAUGGGGCUAGCUAAUCUAGGGAAUGGAGGGAGAAGGGAUACCCAGAAGCAGGAUUCAGGGGGUUAGAGCACUUACACCAUGCUCAUGGCCAUGCCCAUGGACAGGAGAAGCAUAUGAUGGGUGCACAUGGUGGAGCUGGUCUAAAGAAGAGGGGGAUUCAUAUCACAGUAAAAUUAAGUGCAAUUUAUCCACAGAGCAGAGGAGGUUGUGAAGAGCAGGCAUAGGCUAUUUUUCAUGUCUGAAUGCUCUCAAGACCUCUUAGUGUUGUAGGUAGAUGACGCACAAUAAAUAUUCCUUGAUUUGAAUUGGCAUAAAAGGUCAAAUCAGAAAGCCAGAAGUUCUUUAAGGUUUCAAACUAGAUUCUAAGAAGUCCAAAGGCAUCUCAGAGGUCAUCUCAGGGAGAAAAGGGGAAGCAAUGAGGUAGAACUCUGAACCUCCACUCUACCUAAACAAGGCAGCCCUGCUGUGCUCCGAGUCAUGUAUGGCGACAUCAGGGAAGAUGUAAAAUAGGAUUGUGAUAGGAAACAGCAUUUGAAAGCCAUUGCUUUACGAAGGGAAGCGUAGAACCCUUUUCCCCUUGUUAGCCAAUUCAAAUGAAGACUUUUGGGAGCUAGUGAAGAGAAAGACAGGAUUUCUAGGGAGAUGUUUCAGAAGCAGCCUAACUAUACCCGUGUCUUCAGAAAGAGCAGUGUCGUCUCAGAAGUAAUCACCUUCAUCAACCAGCAGGUCAGUGUGGGUCUCCUGAAGAGCCCGAACAACCACGGGAAGCGACAUCCACUGUUGUGCAGUCAAAAGAAUCUUUGCUCUCAUUUUCUCCACUCUCUUUCCUUCCCAAAUAGGGUAUCAUAGGAAGAUCCUGCCUUUCUUCCAGUUCCAACAUUUAUGAAGUGAAAUUUCCAUCAGACAGUUGCUUUUGACAAACAAAGAUUGACUAGAAGCUUCUGUGAGAGAGCCUUAGGAAGUUCUCUGGGGAAGCCCUGCCUUUGUUUGGUUUUCUUUGCCUUUGGCUCUGUGAUGUUUGCUGUAAAAAAUGAUUACUUUCAGGUGAUUAAAAGUGGGGAAGAAUGGUUUCAAGCUUUUCAUGUAGCAAAUAAUAUCCCUGUCUGUAGGAUUACUUUAGUUGAAAAAAAAACAUGGCUUCAGUGAUGCCUUCUCAAUGUACAAGAUUCAGAGGAAUGGAAAGAAAAUGAAAUAAGGCCGGCCUCGGUGGCUCACACCUGUAAUCCCGGGAAGCCGAGGCGGGUGGAUCACGAGGUCAGGAGUUCAAGACCAGCCUGGCCAAGAUGGUGAAACCCCAUCUCUACUAAAAAUACAAAAAUUAGCCAGGCAUGGUGGCAGGCGCCUAUACUCCCAGCUACU